rnacentral:rRNA from 1 species
AGUGAACGCUGGCGGUAGGCCUAACACAUGCAAGUCGAACGGCAGCACAGUAAGAGCUUGCUCUUACGGGUGGCGAGUGGCGGACGGGUGAGGAAUACAUCGGAAUCUACUUUUUCGUGGGGGAUAAUGUAGGGAAACUUACGCUAAUACCGCAUACGACCUACGGGUGAAAGCAGGGGAUCUUCGGACCUUGCUCGAUUGAAUGAGCCGAUGUCGGAUUAGCUAGUUGGCGGGGUAAAGGCCCACCAAGGCGACGAUCCGUAGCUGGUCUGAGAGGAUGAUCAGCCACACUGGAACUGAGACACGGUCCAGACUCCUACGGGAGGCAGCAGUGGGGAAUAUUGGACAAUGGGCGCAAGCCUGAUCCAGCCAUACCGCGUGGGUGAAGAAGGCCUUCGGGUUGUAAAGCCCUUUUGUUGGGAAAGAAAAGCAGCAGGUUAAUACCCCGCUGUUCUGACGGUACCCAAAGAAUAAGCACCGGCUAACUUCGUG